UGCUCUUUACUCUCGUCAUUGACGGUUGUGUUUUGUCGUCUUUUUGUUGAAAUAUUAAAAUAAAACUGCUCCACCACCACGUCGUUCGUACGUUUGUUCGGUGCUAGCCAGUUAGUCCCGUGUAAAAUAAAAAUAACAAAAAAAAAAAGAUUUAUAAAAAAAAUCCAUUUGAUUUGUUUCUUACCCCGUUUGACUCAGCAAAAGACUAUCACCAUCAGCGUUUUCAGAAAUUAAUAUUAUUUUUUUUUUGCAAAUUAAUAUUAUUGUUGCUGUUAUUUGUAUUUUUCUUUGGUGCAAAGUGAAAAGGGGGGAUUUAAAACAACAACACAAAUUUAUAUAAAAAAGUGCAACGCAAUAUUCUUGGCUUCAAAGAGUUUCAAUAUUUAAUCAUUAAAAGUUAUAAAAACAAUAUCACAAUAUUUUUUAAGUGUUUUUUUGAAAAAAAAUUAAAAAUCUGAAUAAUAAAUUUCUCAAAAUUUUGAUUUUAUGUUAAAAAGUGUAUAUUUUAUUGUUCACUAUAUGUAAACUGUGUGUGUUUUGCAAUAAAAUUUGUAUUGGGGAUUCGUGCUGCUUACUUUUCAGAUCCCCAUCAUCAUCAUCCAUCAACAACAUCGUGUUGAUUUUUCUAGUAGCAAUAUUCUGUAAUAUUUGAGGUCAGAACGUAUCAAUAAUUCAUCGACUGAACAUUACGAGCGUAUUGCCCAUCAAUUCUAUGAGGAACUGAAGCAGAAACUUAUUCCACUCAGCAACGAUAAUUUGAUGAAAUUUAAACUUGCCGAAAUCUGCACAAGCGUUACACAAACACCAGCCGUGGAGUUAUACACACACAUUCGUUCCGGUCUGCAGCGUGAGAUACAGCUGGUGGACCAAAUGCCACAGUAUUCGUAUAUGAGUGGUGUCGGUGUGAACGGGAGUGGCGGUGGUACCGUCGGCAUGUUGGGCGGAGGCACCAUACCUGUUGUACCAGGUAUGCACACACCCACACUCGCUUCCACCGGCAACGGUGGCAAUGCCUACGUCGGCAACGAUCUCUAUGCCCUGCACGGUCUCAUCACCAAACUGAAUAUGGACAUUAAUGCGGUGUUUGCCGACAUGCAACAGUUUCGCAGCAGUUAUGAAACAUUUCACAACUGUUUCAACAGUUACAAUCAACGUAAGGCCCACAUGUCACCGCAGGAUAUACAGUCGACAGAUCUGCAGCUGCAGGAACAGUGUCGCAUGUUGGCCACCACACGCAGCACCAUACUAAACGAUUUAAAUCGAAUAAUCGGCACCUACAACACCAUACAGACAACGGUGAUAACAGAAUUGAAGAACUGGCAACGUAAUCAGGCGUUGGCUGGCAAUGGUGCACCAUUCCGUGAUAAUUUGGAUGACAUACAACGUUGCAUUGAGCUGUUGGUCGAGAUGGUUGGCAAAAUUCUGGAUAAUGUUAACAUGAUGAACAUGAUAAGGUUGGAUAAUAACGAUGACAUCAGUGAAAUGAUUUCCCGUGUACGUCAGGCUCAACAAUUGUUGGUGCUGUCAUCAUUCAUUGUUGAAAAACAACCGCCACAGGUUAUGAAAACCAAUACCAGAUUUGCUGCUGCAGUACGAUGGCUUAUUGGACCACAAUUGGGCAUAAGUGUUAAUAGUCCUUCAGUGGAAUGUAUUAUAUUAUCAGAGGCACAGGCUCAACGUCAUUCCGCACAACGUACCAUGUCUGAGUCAUCAAGCAGUAAUCCAGCAUCAUCGGGUGAAAUUGUGAAUAAUAUUGGCACUAUGGAAUAUAAUAAUCAGACCAGAGUAUUUUCGGCGAGUUUCAGAACAAUGCAAUUGAAGAAAAUUAAACGUGCUGAGAAGAAGGGCACUGAGAGUGUCAUGGAUGAAAAAUUUGCUUUACUCUUUUAUACAUCGGUUAUAGUCAAUGAUUAUAGAAUUAGGGUCUGGACCAUUUCUUUACCCGUAGUCGUAAUAGUGCAUGGUAAUCAAGAGCCUCAGUCAUGGGCCACAAUAACAUGGGAUAAUGCAUUCUCUGAUAUUGUUCGUGAACCUUUUCAAGUGCCCGAAAGAGUUGCUUGGUCCCAAUUGGCCAUGGCGUUAAAUACCAAAUUUGAAUCGUCAACGGGUCGUGCUUUAACCGAAGAUAAUUUAAAUUUCUUACAUGAAAAACUAUUCCGCCGAAAUGGAAUGAACAGCGAUGAUGAUUAUAUUUCUUGGGCCCAGUUCUGCAAGGAACCCUUGCCCGAUCGUUCGUUUACAUUUUGGGAUUGGUUCUUUGCCAUUAUGAAAUUAACCAAAGAUCAUUUACUAAGUCUAUGGAAGGCCGGUUUAAUUGUGGGUUUCAUUAACAAGCGCAAGGCCGAGGAAAUGUUGCGGAUUCUACCAUUGGGUACUUUCUUGUUGCGUUUCUCAGACAGUGAAUUAGGUGGAAUAACUGUGGGUUUUGUUACCGAACAAAGUUCAGUGUUAAUGUUGUCGCCAUGGACAGCACGUGAUUUAAAUAUACGCGGCUUAGCCGAUCGUAUUCAUGAUAUAGAAAUCUUACGUAUUGUCUAUCCAACGAAUCGUAUGCGUGAUGAAGCUUUUGGAGAAUUUUAUACACAAAGAAUGGAUGAAAAUGCCCGUCGUGAUGGUUAUGUACCAAAUACUAUACGAGUGAAUGUACCAGCCAUAGAAGGUGUUGGAGGUGUAACACCUCAGCACAAUAUUCAAUCCCCCCAUCCACAAGAUAUACAAAUGGGAAACAAUAGUAACAAUAAUAUUUGCCUAAAUGAUCUCGAUAUAUAUACAAAUGGAAUGAAUGAAACCAAUCUUGACUGGGAUACUCUUUGUAUACUCUAAAUGACAAAUUGUUGUCGUUGUAAAUUAUGAAAAUGCAGUGCAAAUAAAAAAGUAAAAGAAACAAAGGAAAAAAAGAGGAAAUUAAUCUAAAACAAGUCUGAUCUAACUAAAAAUAAUUGUGUAUAUGUUCGUCAAAUUAUGAAACGAAAGAAAAGAAAUUAUAUAUCUGUGUACAUAAAAUACAAAUGUAACUAUUAAAAUUCUACUAUUUCGAAAGUUUUGAUCUUGUCGUUUAACAACAAAAAAAAAUAAAUAAAAAAAGAAAAACGAAAUACAAGUGCCUUUUGCUUCUACAAAACGUAUUGAGUGUAACAAAAAUAUCAAACCAAAUAAAAGCGACAACAUACAUUUUUCGGACUUCGAUUCAAUACUAUAUUGAACGCAAUUUAAAUUUUAAAUACAUUACUAUAUAUAUACAUAUUUUUUAACAAUUUAUCUAUUAUAUUCUUUGUUGCUAUAAAAAAAAAUAUAUAAAUAUAUAACGAAUAUAAGUAGAAACGUAUUUUGAAUACGAAACAAUUAAAAUACUUAUUUUAUUGGCAUACAAAAACUCAAAAUUAAACUAAACUAAAGUAAAUAAUAUUUAUAAUAUGAAAAACAUAAAUUACCAUUUAUAAAUGUGCACUUUAAAUGUGAAUAAGAUUAAAAAAAAAAACAAAAAAAAAAACAUUUAAAAAUAAAACGAAAUCUUUUAAAUUUCAAUUACUUUGAAUUGAAAGCUAAGAAACAUUUUAAAACAAACUCUGACGUCCAGACUCUGAGAUACAAACAACAACAACAAAAAUAAAUAAUAAAAAAAUAAAGUAAAAUAUAUAAUUAAUUUUAGAAAUUUUUAAUGGUGAAUCUACUUUAAAUGUUUUUGAAACAAUUUUACAUACAUAUAUUGUAUAACCCUCAAACCCCAACUUAUUUCGUUAUUAAUAUAAAUCAAAUUUCUAUAUACAUAAUAUUAAUACAUAAUAAUAAUAAAAAAUAAACAAUAUUUUUAAAUAUAGUUUUGUCCCCCCCCCCUAUUUCAAACUAAAAUGUUUACGAAAAAUUAAAUUUGUAUAAUUUUCUUAAGAAAAAAACUUUAAAUAAAACAAGUGAUUUAAAAAACAAAACAAA